rnacentral:rRNA from 1 species
CCUACGGGAGGCAGCAGUGAGGAAUAUUGGUCAAUGGGCGGAAGCCUGAACCAGCCAAGUAGCGUGCAGGAUGACGGCCCUACGGGUUGUAAACUGCUUUUAUACGGGAAUAACGAGCCUUCCGUGUAGGGCUUUGCAUGUACCGUAUGAAUAAGGACCGGCUAAUUCGGUGCCAGCAGCCGCGGUAAUACGGAAGUUCCGGGCGUUAUCCGGAUUUAUUGGGUUUCAAGGGAGCGUAGGCCGCAUGUCAAGCGUGCUGUGAAAUGUCCGGGCUCAACCCGGGCCUUGCAGCGCGAACUGGCGUGCUGGAGUCCGCGGAAAGCAGGCGGAAUGCGUCGUGUAGCGGUGAAAUGCUUAGAUAUGACGAAGAACCCCGAUUGCGAAGGCAGCAUACCGGCGCUCAACUGACGCUGAGGCACGAAAGCGUGGGGAUCGAACAGGAUUAGAUACCCGGGUAGUC